rnacentral:lncRNA from 1 species
AGGGAGGCCAUUUCCUCCAUGCCAGCCCUCAGCACCAGCACCUAGAGCAGAACCAGGAAGGAUCCUGGGAGCAAAGGACAGACAGAUGGCAAGUGUGCCUGAGAAACAGCCUCUGGUGGAGCUGCCUGCUAGGGUGGGCUGUGGGGUGGGAUGAGCGAGUGCCCUGCCCCCACUGGAGAGGAGGGAAUGCGAGGCUUCCAAAAUAGACAGGGGAAAGGCCAGGAAAGCGAAGAGAGGGAGGGAAGAUGGUCCAGCCAGGGAGAGGUUCAUUCCAAGGCCCAUCUGGAGACACUGGCCUGGCACAAACAUGUGUGAAUGUGGGAGGUGGGCGGAGAGAGGGCUGUCAAAAUGGUCUGCUAAAACUGUCUUUACAGCACCCCUUCCUGAACCAGCUUCCCUCCUCCUCCUUCCUCCAUGCACUUCAGGAUGGUGGGGACAAAAGCAGGCAGGGGCCAAGGGGACCAAUCCAGGCCAGAGGAAUGGCGCCUUCCUCCCGCCAGGAGAGCUCCCCAGAAGAAGGGCUACCCACUAAGUGGAGCCGACGGUAGGCAAUGGCCGGAUGGGCGCUGCUGACUCUCCUGCUUUUGGGCCUGCUCCUUAGUUCUUCUGUGCUUUGGUUCUACGUCUUCGGGAACUGUGGUCCUCGUAAGCAAAACUCUGGAACCCUCAACCUAGACAGCUUCUCCCAGUCAUGGUCAGGUCCAUGCUCCUGAGGCUCCUGGCCUCUCUCUAGCUGCUCACCCUGACCCUCACAUUCCCCAGGAUUCCAACU